rnacentral:piRNA from 1 species
UAGGAAGACAGGAAACGUUCAUAUCCAC